UACAGAGGUGCUCAAGCGUUGUUCGGAUUCAUUGGGCGUAAAGGGCGCGUAGGCUGCGGGGCAAGUCGGGUGUGAAAUCUCAGAGCUCAACUCUGAAACUGCACUCGAUACUGCUUUGCUUGAGGACUGGAGAGGAGAUUGGAAUUCACGGUGUAGCAGUGAAAUGCGUAGAUAUCGUGAGGAAGACCAGUGGCGAAGGCGGAUCUCUGGACAGUUCCUGACGCUGAGGCACGAAGGCCAGGGGAGCAAACGGG
rnacentral:rRNA from 1 species